UGUGCUGUGUGCGUGUCAGGCGAGCGGCCCCAAGUUUGCUUCGGUAACUGUUCUGGUGACCCAGAUGGAACAUUCGUGCUGAGUGGUUUCCAGCCUGUGGCACAUCAGCCUCUGGCUGGUGGCAGCUCUGGGAUCCUGUCCAGCAGCUGCCCGGGCGCUUCUGUCUCAGGGACAGCCUCCAGGGCCUGCCGCUGGCUGGGCAUCACUGGGCCACGGCGCUUUCGACUGAUUCCCUGAUGAAGGCAGCAAAGCUGUGGUCCUGGUCUGAGACAUCUGGAGUCUCUCGGUCAUCUGGCACCGCCUAUGGUCACCCUCUGUUAGACCACGGCUCACCCGCACCCCGGCUGGAACAGCGGCCUGAUUCAGAGCCACCUACAAGUUUGUCCGGAAGUGAGCUGUGUGAACACACGUCUUAUACCACAUUGAGGAAAGAAAUUAUGCUAUGAGAAGAUGUAUGUUUCUGGAGGUUGUGGAAUAUAUUCAUCAUAUGUACUGGAAAAGGCAUCAUUGAAAGAACUGGCUCCAGCCUAGAUGGAAGGACUCUUACAAGAUUCUUCUCCCUUAUUGGCUCUUACAAGAUACUGAGUAUAGUUCCCUGGGCUACAUGGUAGUGUGUGUAUGUUAAUCCCAGACUCCUAAUUUACUUAUCAGGUACUCUUAAGUUGCUCAAAGUGACACUGAAGGGAAUUGAUACAAAUUCAUAUGUGAGAACUUCACUAGAGAAUCUUCCUUCUAUCCUGAACACCGAGGGCAGCACACCCUGCAACCCUCUCCUGCACACACUGCCUUUAAGAACCCUCCCCUAAAAGAUGGGGUGGUGGCACAGGGGCUUCAGGUCUUUUGAGCACGAGCUGCCCGUCCCCGUUGUCUGGCCCCAGGUUGGAUGCCUUACAAACGCUGCACUUUCCUUCCCCACAACCCGGUGUUACACCCCAGUUUGGUUCACUAACAGUGGGCCGGGAGAGCUCGCCGGGUAGCCAUGUCUUUUCUCACCUGUCAGACAGGUGGGACAGAGCCCGUGUAGUCAUCUGCCGGUUUGUAGCAAUGCUCUCCUCUCUUCCGGCCCAUUAUACAGGUGAACCUUGAAUUGCACAGGUCCACUUAAAGGUGGCUUUUAUUCAGUAAAUAUAUUGGACAUUUUUUUGGAGAUUUGCAACAAUUUGAAAAAACUCAGACAAACCACACAGCCGGAACAAGAGUCAGAUCUCAGCCUUGGCAACGGGAUCAGCUCAAGAGUUCCCUUUUGCCUCAGCAGCGUCAGCCUUUGAACGGUGCCUUAACGGCAAGCGCGCCUGGCAGCAGAAGGGCACCCGGCCAGUCUGCUACGUGUCCGCCAUUUUUGAUAGGCCGGCCUCAGGGCGCCAGAGACCCCGUCGCCGAAGCACUCCCAAAUCACGGUCCACCCCAAAAGCACGGCGGCCGUCUGCGUGAGCGCGAGCAGGCUUUCCUCGUGCCAGCUGGCAGGCUCUUGGUGCCCUUAGUUCAGCCUAUCGCACAGAAGAGACACGAGACAAGGGAGCAUUUUCUAGGACAGACACCGGAGGAACGAUGGCAUAGCCAGCCUGGCACCUCUCGUGAGGUCCUCGCAGAUACGCACCACCCACGAGUAACAAAAAUCAGGAUUACCCACUGCGCUCUCUUGAAGAUCAGUCCCGGGACAGAAAAGAUAUUCGUUACUAACGUCUGACUCUUCUGGGAGCAAGGUGGCUGGAUUCAGUUUGUCACACCUGUGGGGAGAGAUCUGGUGAGAGCAAGACAGUCUCAUGAGAAGUUCAGCGGCUUGAAUAAUGUGUGUGAUGAGAGUUUAGUAAAGCUUCCGUGGCUUGGGGGACAAAGAUGGUGAGAGUGUGACUCGUGGCGCAGCACAGCUGUUGCUGACACAGCCCCGGGACAAGUGGGGGGAGCCCUCGUCUACUGCAGCUCGCUGCUGGCCGUAUAUCCUGCUGGUGGGUAGUAACCGCCGCGUUGCUGGGUUAAUACCCCGUGUGGCACCUUUGUUUUCAUGUACACAGAGAAGAAGGGGUAAAUCAUGAUUUGGAUGCCCCAAGGCUGGGUCCUUUUUAGGGUCUCCCUGGCUUCAGAAUGUGUUUGUUUCCCAAAGAGGUUCAGCUUGGUCUUGUUUAAGCAAGUUAUAUAAUGGCUAGGCCACUAAAAAAAAAAACUUCGUAAUCCAGUUCCUGCCGUAGCCUGCAGGGUCUAGAAAUCCCCUUAAGUGCCCUUUUGUCCUAGGGGCAGGGAAAGCCAAAAUGUCCUUCACCAUCAAUUAAAGGUCCCUUAAAUAUCAUUUGUCCUAAAUAUUUAACAUCAGCCUUACAAAAUUGUCAUUUUUCCUCGGACACUCUGUCCCUUUGAGCUAGUUUCUGAAGUACAGGCUGUCUUCCUAUUUAUCAAAGAAUUUGAACACAAUAGCAAGUCAUCUGCACAUUGUAUCAAAACUGACUUAGGAGGAGAAGCUAGAUCAUCUAGGUACGUUUUUAGUAUCUGGGGAAGGUGAGUACAGCCCUGCCGCGUUACAGUCCACGUAUGCUGCCCUUCAUCCCGAGUAAAGGCUAAGGGUACCGGCCCCCAGGACGCACAGGGAUGCUAAACGGUGCACUGCGGAGGCCACAGAAGUCACUGUGCUUAGGAACACGGGACGGUAAGGUACGGGGUUGGCAGCACACAAUGGCGAGGAGCAACGAUAGCACUGCUAGAGCUCAAACCCUACACAGACCUCCAGCCCUUGCCGUUAGGUUUUCUAACUGGCAGAGUGAGUGUGUUACAAGGGCCGGUGCAAAGCGUGAAGCCUUUCUCGAUGUACGCUGGUGUCAGGUGUUACUCCCUCCGUGGCUUCCCGCCUCCGUAUGGGUACUGACGCGGUUCUUCUCGUCUCUGGUCGUUUUAAAGGGCGGUAUGGAAUGUAUUUCCAUAUGUCAGUAACUCUUCAGGUACUAAGCCUAGCAAAUCUUAGUCUGCAUCACCUUGACCACGGGUCACAAACACUGUAUGAUGAAGGAAAUCAGCUCUAAAAACAUCUCCCCCUUAGGAGUAAGGAAAUAUGGGCUUCCUAAGUUUCUAAUAAAUCUCUUCCUGUCAGGUAAACAGGGGUGCUUUCUACCAGAAAAGAUGAGUGCCUUCCUUUAAGUUCUCCUAAGUAAAAUGCUAAAGAUAAUGGUUUACGAGCCUUAAGAGGUGCAGCAGAAAUCCCUACCGUCUCCACUGAAGUGUUACUUCGUGGGAGGGAGCCUCUGAUUUUGGUUUAAAACUGAAAAGGUGGUCCCUGUAUCUAUUAGGGCUUUAAAUGUUUCUCUCUUGUCUCUACUUCUCCCAGGUGUUACAGAAGAAAGACUCCCACUGUUCCUCAGAGGAGCCCUAUUCUUUAAACUCGGCAUUCUGAUCUGAAAUCUAGUCUGUUCUUGAAAUCUUUCUUCAUUUUUCUACAGUUCCUUCUCCAAUGACUUUUUUUUUAAACACAGUAAAAGCAAAUGCCAGGUUCCUCUCUCAGUCGAGGAUUGAACAGGGUUUGUUAACUGUAGCCUAACCUUGCUUACUUAAUUGGCACAAUUGAAGGUUCACGAUUUCUUUAUAAAUUUUUGGCUGUGUUGGGUCUUCACUGCAGCGCAUCAGUGCGUGGGCUCUCUCUAGUUGCAGCGCGCAGGCUUCUCAUUGCAGUGGCUUCUCGUUGCGGAGCACGGGCUUCAGUAGUUGUGGCACACGGGCUCAGUCGUUGUGGCUUGCAGGCUCUAGAGCGCAGGCUCAGUAGUUGCUCCGCAGCACGUGGCAUCUUCCCGGACCAGGGCUUGAACCUGUGUCCCCUGCGUUGGCAGGCUGAUUCUUAACCACUGCACCACCAGGGAAGUCCCCGAAGGUUCACGAUUUUUAUAGAUGUAUCCUCUCCAUCAAUGGUUUUGAAAAGCUGGUCAGCCAGCCUGGUAAGGGCAUUUGUAUGUAACACCAACUUAAGUUGUAUUUUUUAAUUACAGUAGCCAAUUCCUGAUUUAUACCUUCUAAAAUGGACUUAAGCAAAGGAUCAUUUUGGUGGUUAGAGAACAAUCAGGUGUUAUGCCAGAAUAUUGUUUAAAAGUUCUCUCACCUCAUAAUCUAGGAUUUUAUCUUGUUUUUGUUUGCACUGCUGAAUUUUUGUCUAGGCUAUGGCUUUUGGGAAAAACUCUGGGAUAAAUAAUUUUAUGAGAUAAUUCCUUGCAUUCAACUCGAAAAUCGAAGUUUGUUGAGGGGUGUUUCCAUUCUGCUUUCUCUAUCCAUUGCCUUGCUUUACUUUCAGAAAGGAAUAGCUGUAUUAAUGGAUACAGAUCUGCAAACGCAGACUCAUAGGUUUGGAUGGUUAACUCGUAUUCCUGUGCAUAUCCCAAUGAAUCCUGACUAGGAUCGGGAAACCCCUUAGCUAAAAAGCCCUAAGUUGGGCUUCCCUGGUGGCGCCGUGGUUGAGAGUCUGCCUGCCGAUGCAGGGGACACGGGUUUGUGCCCCGGUCCGGGAACAUCCCACAUGCUGCGGAGCAGCUAG